rfam:Brachypodium distachyon strain Bd21 chromosome 5, whole genome shotgun sequence.
AAGGUACUCUCUCCGUUCCAUAAUUCUUAUCGAAAUAUUACAUGUAUCUAGACGUUUUUUAGUAAUAGAUACAUCCAUUUUUGGGCAAAUUUGAGACAAGAAUUAUGAAACGGAGUGAGUACUUA